GAGUUUGAUCGUGGCUCAGAUUGAACGCUGGCGGCAUGCUUUACACAUGCAAGUCGAACGGUAACAGGUCUUCGGAUGCUGACGAGUGGCGAACGGGUGAGUAAUACAUCGGAACGUGCCUAGUAGUGGGGGAUAACUACUCGAAAGAGUAGCUAAUACCGCAUGAGAUCUACGGAUGAAAGCAGGGGACCUUUGGGCCUUGUGCUACUAGAGCGGCUGAUGGCAGAUUAGGUAGUUGGUGGGUAAAGGCUUACCAAGCCUGCGAUCUGUAGCUGGUCUGAGAGGACGACCAGCCACACUGGGACUGAGACACGGCCCAGACUCCUACGGGAGGCAGCAGU
rnacentral:rRNA from 1 species